AUUCAUUGAAUUGAACCGAUUAAUAAAAUUUGAUAUCCUUAAUUUUGUGGGUCGAGUAAGUGACAAAAAAGGGUCCAGUUCCAGUGAUGCUUAAUAAUUCAGGAUGAAUUUGUCCUGUAGGCGCGGCCGUAGAUUUUCCUAAUCUAUCAUCUCUAGCGACACACAAGUGUCGUCAUCAUCAUCUUCUCCUCCCAGUUCCCAAUUCCCGAUUCCCGAUUCCCAAAGCCCUAAUGAAGAGCAUGGAAGGUGGAACCAAGUCCUAAAGAUAGGGAGAGAGGCAUCUUCGCGAAAGUCCAAGGCUGACUGAAAUUAGAAUCAGCCAGGGCAUGGGGGCUGAGUUUAGGAUAACGAAGAUCAUGGUGCCCAUGCUGACCUAAGACCCGAAUUCAUCUCUCUCUUGUCUGUUUUGGUUGGUGGGUUUUUUUCUUAUAUAUAUGGCAACGGCGUCUCUUAUUCACGCUCGUUGCUGUUACUCUCCGAGGCUUCGUCUAAAAAAUGGAGGGCAUGGACAUGGACAUGUAGGAUCCUCCUCUCAUUCUUCUUCUUCGUCAUCCUCUUCGCCUCCUUCCUCUUCGGAUUCUUGUUCCUCCUUUAAUCAUCGUCAGGGUUUGACCUUCUCUGGCAUAAACAGUACUUGGAAGCAUAAAAGCCUCAGAGCUCAAGCUAUGAGUACCACUCAAGGGAAUGCUGCAUCACCCAGGGGCUUUAUGCAUGGGAAGUAUGAACCUGAUCAUCUCCUUGUCCUUGUUCAUGGCAUCUUGGCUAGCCCAAGUGAUUGGACAUAUGCAGAAGCAGAGUUGAAAAAGCGUCUGGGAAGAAACUUUUUAAUUUAUGUAAGUUCAUCUAAUACUUACACUAAAACCUUCGGUGGGAUUGAUGGAGCUGGAAAACGAUUAGCGGAUGAAGUUACGCAAGUUGUGCAAAAGACACAGAGCUUAAAAAGGAUCUCCUUUUUAGCCCAUUCCCUUGGUGGUUUGUUUGCAAGAUAUGCAAUUGCUGUCCUGUAUACACCAAACACUUCAAGCAUUAGUCAAUCUGAUGAUCUUAAGAAUUCUAAGAAAGAAAAUUCACAAUCAUCAUGCUCUUCAAGACGAGGUAUGAUUGCUGGAUUGGAGCCAAUCAAUUUUAUUACCUUGGCAACUCCACAUCUAGGGGUGAGAGGGAAAAAGCAGCUUCCAUUUCUACUGGGGGUUCCCAUCUUAGAAAAAAUUGCUGCACCAAUUGCUCCUAUUUUUGCUGGUCGAACUGGAAGUCAGCUAUUUCUCACUGAUGGUAAACCCAACAAACCACCUCUUCUUCUGAGGAUGGCAUCCAACUGUGAAGAUGGAAAAUUUAUAGCUGCUCUGGGCGCAUUUAGCUGUCGCAUUCUUUAUGCUAAUGUCUCUUACGAUCAUAUGGUUGGAUGGCGCACAUCCUCUAUUCGUAGGGAGACAGAACUUGUUAAGCCCCCUCGCCGUUCUUUGGAUGGUUACAAGCAUGUUGUAGAUGUGGAGUAUUGUCCACCAGUUUUGUCUGAUGGUCCCCAUUUUCCUCCAGAAGCAGCCAAAGCAAAGGAGGCAGCACAAAAUGCUCCCAGCACACAAAGUACAGUAGAAUAUCAUGAAAUUUUGGAAGAGGAAAUGAUACAUGGCUUACAACAGCUAGGAUGGAAAAAAGUUGACGUCAGCUUUCAUUCAGCAUUCUGGCCCUUCUUCGCCCAUAACAACAUUCAUGUGAAAAAUGAAUGGCUCUACAAUGCUGGUGUGGGAGUGGUUGCUCAUGUUGCUGAAAGCCUGAAGCAACAAGAAUCUUCUACAUUCAUUGCUGCUAACUUAUAGCAAAGUGUGAGUGCCUAUACAGCUGAAACAUGUUUGUACAAUGAUGCAAUAUAACAAUUCAUAAUUUUAUUUAUCUUGGUCAUUGAUAAAAUCUCUCUCUCAUGAUGUUGGCUUACCAAAUGAUUUACUCUUUUGCUAGAAAGUUGGAACUGCAUCACCUCUUUUUUAAUGCAUGAUGAAGCAUUUGUCUUACUAAGUUUACGUUUUUCUGCCAGAAGGGCCUCUUUUGUGUCAUUGUGUCUACAACAUGGAUUUGGUGCCAUGAAAGAGGAAGGGGGACAGAGCCUGUUUGGAUUCUUUGUUGGAACUCUGUUGGAUGGGAAAUGGCUGCUCACUGUCACCAGCAUUAGCUAUUUCCUUGAGCUCCUCUUUAUCCACAUUUCCAGGAGAGGAAUAAAAGAUUUGGUGCAAGUGCAACUUAGUUGCUAUCAGAGCCUGGUCUUCAAAAACUUGCUACUGAAGAUUUUUGUGCGUAUUCUGUAUCUAUACAUUGGGCUAUAAUCAGUCUGCUUAACAAAAGUUGGAACACAGUAGUCCAACAUGAUGGCUCAAAUUCUUGAAGGAAGGAAGGAGUUAAAAAGUAAUUCUCCUGCAAAGUGACCAAUAAAGUUACAAUUUAUUGCA